UAGGAAGUGAUGAUUAUUUCCCCAGUUGAUCGAAGCUGAAAUUACUGAGCCCUUUUUGUAGUUCUCUUAUUGAGAAUCCAAACCAGGAUGCUGAUCCAU